rnacentral:rRNA from 1 species
GGGGGGGGGGGGGGGGGGGGGGGGGGCGGGGGGGGCGGGGGGGGGGGCGGGGGGUGUGGGGGGGGCUCGGGUGGCGACCGGGUGGGUGAGACGUGAGUGACCUGCCCUUGACUGUGGGGUAACGUCCGGGGACGGGGGCUAAUACCGGAUAGGAGCUCCUGCUGCGUGGUGGGGGUUGGGAGGUUUCGGCGGUUGGUGCUGGACUCGCGGCGUAUCAGCUUGUUGGUGGGGUAGUGGCUUACCAAGGCUUUGACGGGUAGCCGGCCGGGGAGGGUGACCGGCCACAUUGGGACUGAGAUACGGCCCAGACGCCUACGGGAGGCAGCAGUGGGGAAUAUUGCACAAUGGGCGGAAGCCUGAUGCAGCAACGCCGCGUGCGGGAUGACGGCCUUCGGGUUGUAAACCGCUUUCGCCUGUGACGAAGCGUGAGUGACGGUAAUGGGUAAAGAAGCACCGGCUAACUACGUG